CUGAGGAGAGAACAGUACAAUCCCAGCAGUGGGUGGGGUAGUCCGCACCCACCAAUGAAAGCUUCACAGGAGACAACACAGGGAACACACCCUGCAGUUCAAUGAUACUGCAUCUCUGAUAAAUGCCAGGUCUAACUCAACUCAAGCCUAAGGCAGCCCCAGACUGGAUCACUAACACUACAGGGACCAAACACUGGCCACAACAGGAUAUUUGGAAAAGGGACAUGCACAUGGGGAGAACACGAUGUGAGGAUGAAAGCAGAAAUAAGAACCUCUAUAAGUUACAGAUCUCAGCAACAUCUAAUUUUGCCUGCUAGAGCCUAUGGAAGAAGUCACAACAGGUCACAGGCACCCCCUUGGACUUUGGGUCUACAAGCUGCCAAAAAAGUAUAUAUCCUUUAUGUGACAAUUAUUGGUUUUGGUGAAAACUGAGAACAUGACUUUGGUUAUGUAAUAAUCUUCUGAUAAGAAAUUUGAACCAAAACACAUUAAUGUAUUUCCUUUUGUUCUCUAGUUAUAUUAGGGUAUUCACACUUUAAGCAAAGUUUAAAGUUUCUAUAAAAUACAUGCUCAAAUACAUAUUAACAAACCAAAGA